GCAUUAAAGCCUACUUCAGAGAGGCAGUGUUAUUUUUUGGAAAGGAACCAUUUCCCAACAUUUAUGUCGACUCUCAAAAGGAUGAUGAGCGUUGGGCUCUUAUAUCUAAAACCCAGAUGAAGAAUGUUGUAAAGCUCUGGCAUCGGGAACAAAUGAAAAAUGAAGCCAAAGAUAAAAAAGA